AACGAACGCUGGCGGCACGCUUAACACAUGCAAGUCGAACGAAGUAGCAAUACUUAGUGGCGGACGGGUGAGUAACGCGUAGGAACCUGCCUAUGGGUGGGGGAUAACUUUGGGAAACUAAAGCUAAUACCCCAUAAGUCGGAGACGAGAAAGGCGAAAGCCGCCGAUAGAUGGGCCUGCGUAAGAUUAGGUAGUUGGUGGGGUAAUGGCCUACCAAGCCGAUGAUCUUUAGCUGGUUUGAGAGGAUGAUCAGCCACACUGGGACUGAGACACGGCCCAGACUCCUACGGGAGGCAGCAGUGGGGAAUAUUGGACAAUGGGGGAAACCCUGAUCCAGCGAUGCCGCGUGAGUGAAGAAGGCCUUCGGGUUGUAAAGCUCUUUUGGUAGGGAAGAUAAUGACGGUACCUACAGAAUAAGCUCCGGCUAACUUCGUGCCAGCCGCCGCAGUAA
rnacentral:rRNA from 1 species